GAUGAACGCUAGCGGCAGGCUUAAUACAUGCAAGUCGAGGGGCAGCACAGGUAGCAAUACUGGGUGGCGACCGGCAAACGGGUGCGGAACACGUACACAACUUACCUUAAGGUGGGGGAUAGCCCAGGGAAACUUGGAUUAAUACCCCAUAAUACAGGGGGCCCGCAUGGGUCUAUUGUUAAAGAUUUAUUGCCUUAAGAUGGGUGUGCGUCUGAUUAGGUAGUUGGUGAGGUAAAGGCUCACCAAGCCAACGAUCAGUAACUGGUGUGAGAGCACGACCAGUCACACGGGCACUGAGACACGGGCCCGACUCCUACGGGAGGCAGCAGUAAGGAAUAUUGGUCAAUGGACGGAAGUCUGAACCAGCCAUGCCGCGUGGAGGAUGAAGGUCCUCUGGAUUGUAAACUUCUUUUAUAUGGGGCGAAAAAGGGCCAUUCUUGGUCAACUGACGGUACCGUAUGAAUAAGCACCGGCUAACUCCGUGCCAGCCGCCGCGGUAAUAC
rnacentral:rRNA from 1 species